GUGGACACUUCAGAUUGAACCAUUAUGUAUAUCGCAGAGCAUUACAUGGCCUCUGAUGUGGAAUGGGACCCUACCGGCAGAUAUGUGGUGACUUCUGUUUCCUGGUGGAGCCACAAGGUGGACAAUGCAUACUGGCUUUGGACAUUCCAGGGAGGUCUUCUGCAAAAGAACAACAAAGAAAGAUUCUGCCAGUUGCUAUGGAGACCAUGUCCUCCUACUUUACUAGGUCAAGAGCAAACAAAGGCAAUUAAGAAGGACCUCAAAAAGUACUCAAAAAUCUUUGAACAAAAGGAUAGACUGAGCCGGUCGAAUGCUUCUGAGG